rnacentral:rRNA from 1 species
ACUCCUACGGGAGGCAGCAGUGAGGAAUUUUCCACAAUGGGCGAAAGCCUGAUGGAGCGACGCCGUGUGUGCGAUGAAGUCUUUCGGGAUGUAAAGCACUGUCAGAGGGGACGAUAUUGACGGUACCCUCAGAGGAAGCCACGGCUAACUACGUGCCAGCAGCCGCGGUAAU